GGAGUCUGGACCGUGUCUCAGUUCCAGUGUGGGGGACCUUCCUCUCAGAACCCCUACCGAUCGUAGCCACGGUGGGCCGUUACCCCGCCGUCAAGCUAAUCGGACGCAUCCCCAUCCCAUGGCGUCAAACUUUAGUGCUCCUCAGAUGUCCUCAAUGCACAACAUAGGGUGUUAAUCCGCAUUUCUACGGGCUAUGCCCUACCAGGGGGAAGGUUGGAUACGCGUUACUCACCCGUGCGCCGGUCGCCAUCAGCGGAAGCAAGCUUCCGCCAUGCUGCCCCUCGACUUGCAUGUGUUAAGUCUGUAGCUAGCGUUCAUC
rnacentral:rRNA from 1 species